rnacentral:tRNA from 1 species
GUUUAAAUAGCUUAUUUAGAGCGUAAUAUUGAAGAUAUUAAGGUGAUAUAAUUAUUUUUAAACA